rnacentral:lncRNA from 1 species
GCCCCGGUCCAGAGGGCAGUCCCAAGAUGCCCAAAACCAAAGACCCCCUCCUCCAGUGAAGGCCAAGCCAGUGUUCAGACCUCCUGAGAGCGCGGCCAUGAGGAUACCAGACGAGCCAGCGCCCAUGGAGCCUCCUGUCAAUACGCCCAGGAGCAGGAGUGAGAGCCCCCAUUCGAGGAAAAGUCCAGGAUUGUCCAGCCUCGUAUCCAAUAAACGCGGAGGCAGACGAUUGAGGAUAGACCUGAAGAAAGGUACGGAGGGGCUUGGUUUCACAGUGGUGACCAGAGACUCUUCAGUCCACGGUCCGGGCCAAUUCUGGUCAAAAACAUUCUGCCUCGAGGAGCGGCUGUGAAGGAUGGUCGCCUGCAGUCUGGAGACCGCAUCCUAGAGGUGAAUGGGGUGGACAUCACAGGAGUG